rnacentral:rRNA from 1 species
CGAGGGCAGCACAGGCUUCGGCCUGGUGGCGACCGCGGACGGGUGCGUAACGCGUAUGCAACCUACCCACUACAGGGGGAUAGCCCGGGGAAACCCGGAUUAAUACCGCAUAAGACAAAGUAGUCGCAUGGCUACAUUGUUAAAGAUUUAUCGGUAGUGGAUGGGCAUGCGUCUGAUUAGCUAGUUGGUAGUGUAGAAGACUACCAAGGCGGCGAUGCGUAGCCGACCUGAGAGGGUGAUCGGCCACACUGGGACUGAGACACGGCCCAGACUCCUACGGGAGGCAGCAGUAGGGAAUCUUCCGCAAUGGACGAAAGUCUGACGGAGCAACGCCGCGUGAGCGAUGAAGGCCUUCGGGUCGUAAAGCUCUGUUGUUAGGGAAGAACAAGUACCGUUCGAAUAGGGCGGUACCUUGACGGUACCUAACCAGAAAGCCACGGCUAACUACG